rnacentral:misc_RNA from 1 species
UUGAAUCCUCAGGAUGUCGCUGGCCGCCUCAAAAGGGUGGCAUGUGCACUCCGCCUUCAACCCACCUGUGCACUUAUUGUAGGUCAAAGAGGGAAACCCUUUGCCUAUGCUUUUUACACACUCUAUUAGUAUCAGAAUGUAACAAAGUAGACCUUCAGGUCGAAAUAACAAUA